rnacentral:rRNA from 1 species
UGCCAGACUCCUACGGGAGGCAGCAGUGGGGAAUAUUGGGCAAUGGGCGCAAGCCUGACCCAGCAACGCCGCGUGAAGGAAGAAGGCUUUCGGGUUGUAAACUUCUUUUAGGAGGGAAGAGAAGAAGACAGUACCUCUUGAAUAAGCCACGGCUAACUACGUGCCAGCAGCCGCGGUAAUACGUAGGUGGCAAGCGUUGUCCGGAUUUACUGGGUGUAAAGGGCGUGCAGCCGGGCUGACAAGUCAGAUGUGAAAUCCCGCGGCUCAACCGCGGAACUGCAUUUGAAACUGUUUCCCUUGAGUGUCGGAGAGGUAAUCGGAAUUCCUUGUGUAGCGGUGAAAUGCGUAGAUAUAAGGAAGAACACCAGUGGCGAAGGCGGAUUACUGGACGAUAACUGACGGUGAGGCGCGAAAGCGUGGGGAGCAAACAGGAUUAGAUACCCGUGUACC